AACCUGGCAUACAAUGUAGAUUUCUGU
rnacentral:piRNA from 3 species